rnacentral:rRNA from 1 species
AUUGAACGCUGGCGGCAGGCCUAACACAUGCAAGUCGAGCGGAUGAAGGGAGCUUGCUCCUGGAUUCAGCGGCGGACGGGUGAGUAAUGCCUAGGAAUCUGCCUGGUAGUGGGGGAUAACGUCCGGAAACGGGCGCUAAUACCGCAUACGUCCUGAGGGAGAAAGUGGGGGAUCUUCGGACCUCACGCUAUCAGAUGAGCCUAGGUCGGAUUAGCUAGUUGGUGGGGUAAAGGCCUACCAAGGCGACGAUCCGUAACUGGUCUGAGAGGAUGAUCAGUCACACUGGAAGUGAGACACGGUCCAGACUCCUACGGGAGGCAGCAGUGGGGAAUAUUGGACAAUGGGCGAAAGCCUGAUCCAGCCAUGCCGCGUGUGUGAAGAAGGUCUUUGGAUUGUAAAGCACUUUAAGUUGGGAGGAAGGGCAGUAAGUUAAUACCUUGCUGUUUUGACGUUAACAACAGAAUAAGCACCGGCUAACUUCGUG